rnacentral:rRNA from 1 species
AUUGAACGCUGGCGGCAGGCCUAACACAUGCAAGUCGAGCGGAUGACGGGAGCUUGCUCCUUGAUUCAGCGGCGGACGGGUGAGUAAUGCCUAGGAAUCUGCCUGGUAGUGGGGGACAACGUUUCGAAAGGAACGCUAAUACCGCAUACGUCCUACGGGAGAAAGCAGGGGACCUUCGGGCCUUGCGCUAUCAGAUGAGCCUAGGUCGGAUUAGCUUGUUGGUGAGGUAAUGGCUCACCAAGGCGACGAUCCGUAACUGGUCUGAGAGGAUGAUCAGUCACACUGGAACUGAGACACGGUCCAGACUCCUACGGGAGGCAGCAGUGGGGAAUAUUGGACAAUGGGCGAAAGCCUGAUCCAGCCAUGCCGCGUGUGUGAAGAAGGUCUUCGGAUUGUAAAGCACUUUAAGUUGGGAGGAAGGGUUGUAGAUUGAUACUCUGCAAUUUUGACGUUACCGACAGAAUAAGCACCGGCUAACUCUGUG